rnacentral:rRNA from 1 species
UGGGGAAUUUUGGACAAUGGGCGAAAGCCUGAUCCAGCAAUGCCGCGUGCAGGAUGACGGCCUUCGGGUUGUAAACUGCUUUUGUACGGAACUAAACGUCUCUCGCUAAUACCGGGGGUUGAUGACGGUACCGGAAGAAUAAGCACCGGCUAACUACGUGCCAGCAGCCGCGGUAAUACGAAGGGUGCAAGCGUUAAUCGGAAUUACUGGGCGUAAAGCGUGCGCAGGCGGUGAUGCAAGACAGAUGUGAAAUCCCCGGGCUCAACCUGGGAACUGCAUUUGUGACUGCAUAGCUAGAGUGCGGCAGAGGGAGCUGGAAUUCCGCGUGUAGCAGUGAAAUGCGUAGAUAUGCGGAGGAACACCGGUGGCGAAGGCGAGCCACUGGGCCUGUACUGACGCUCAUGCACGAAAGCGUGGGGAGCGAACA